rnacentral:lncRNA from 1 species
AUGCCAAAAGGAAAGAAGGCCAAGGAGAAGAAGGUGGCUCCAGCCCCUGCUGUCGUGAAGAAGCAGGAGGCCAAGAAAGUGGUAAAUCCCUUGUUUGAGAAAAGGCCUAAGAAUCUUGGCACUGGACAGGAUAUCCAGCCCAAAAGACACCUCACCCACUUUGUGAAAUGGCCCUGCUAUAUCAGGUUGCAGCAGCAGAGAACCAUCCUCUAUAAGUGGCUGAAAGUGCCUCCUGAGAUUAACCAGUUCACCCAGGCACCAGACAGCCAAACAGCUACUCUGCUGCUUAAGCUGGCCCACAAUACAGACCAGAGACAAACCAAGAGAAGAAGCAGAGGCUGUUGGCCUGGGCCAAGAAGAAAGCUGCUGGCAAAGGGGACAUUCCCCACUAAGAGUCCACCUGUCCUUCGAGCAGGAGUUAACACCAUCACCACCUUGGUGGAGAACAAGAAAGCUCAGCUGGUGGUGAUUGCACAUGAUGUAGAUCCCAUCAAGCUGGUUGUCUUCUUGCCUGUCCUGUGUCAUAAAAUGGGGUCCCUUACUGCAUUAUCAAAGGGAAGGCAAGACUGGGACAUCUAGUCCAUAGGAAGACCUGCACCACUGUCACCUUCACACAGGUUAACUCGGAAGACAAAGGUGCUUUGGCUAAGCUGGUGGAAGUUCUCAGGACCAAUUACAAUGACAGAUAUGAUGAGAUCCGCCGUCACUGGGGAGACAGUGUCCUGGGUCUCAAGUAUGUGGUUUGCAUUGCCAAGCUCAAAAAGGCAAAGGGUAAAGAACAUGCCACUAAAUUGGGU